CCCUUAGAUGUUCUGGGCGGCCCGCGCACUACAAUGGCGUGUGCAGCGAGUGCCGAAGUAGAGUUUUCCGAGGUAUUCUUGCAAUGCUCGUUUUGAUGGGGAUAGACCCUUGCAACUGUUGGUUUUGAACGAGGAAUUCCUUGUAAGCAUGGUUUAUCAUCCGACGCUGAAUGCGUCCCUGCCCUUUGUACACACCGCCCGUCGCUCCUACCGAUGAGUCGUCCGGUGAAGUUCGUAGACCUCGUGAUCGCGGAUCACUGGGGGAAGCAAAAUGAACCUCGCGGUUUAGAGGAAGAAGAAGUCGUAACA
rnacentral:rRNA from 1 species